UCAUAGCUGACACCCCAUUGUUUCGGCAGACAAAUUUGAAUCUUAAUUCAGAGUAACGUUAGAUAUUUACCAGUGUUUGGAAAACACGGUCACCUAGCCAAUACUGAAUUAAGAAGCUGAAAAUCAAACAAACGAAACAGAGAAACGUUACUGCACUGAGGAAGUACAGGUGACAUGGAUUCUAGCUUUAAACAAAGCACCUUCAGAAUUUAACGGAACAUUUCCAUUAGGUUGUAACUUACAGAUCCGCAAACUCUUGACCUGCAACAGUGCGGAUGACAGCACUAGCAAGUCACCCCGUUUUAGGCCCGUUUUCCUCUCAACAACCGACCGAGGAACCCGAUUGAGCAAGGAUGGGGGUGCAGGUGACUCGGGUUAUCUUUUAGCGUUACGUGUCCACGUAGCUAGCUAUCUGCAGAAUAUAGUACUUACUUUCUAAUAUCAACCUAAUGUUAACCUCGAAGCCUACUGUCCGUUUUUUGAUUGUACACAACCUGUACUGAUCCUGAGCCUGUUUCACACUCUUCCUCGUUCAUCUGGCUACCUUUUCAGAGCGGACACAGGCUGGCCUUUACGGUACAUUCU